AGCAGUCGCCACGGUAAUACGUAGGGGGCGAGCGUUGUCCGAAGUUACUGGGCGUAAAGGGCUCGCAGGCGGUUUCUUAAGUCUGAUGUGAAAGCCCCAGGCUCAACCGGGGAGGGUCAUUGGAAACUGGGAAACUUGAGUGCAGAAGAGGAGAGUGGAAUUCCACGUGUAGCGGUGAAAUGCGUAGAGAUGUGGAGGAACACCAGUGGCGAAGGCGACUCUCUGGUCUGUAACUGACGCUGAGGAGCGAAAGCGUGGGGAGCGAACAGGAUUAGAUACCCCGGUAGUCCCUGUCUCUUAUAC
rnacentral:rRNA from 1 species